rnacentral:rRNA from 1 species
UACAGAGGGGGCAAGCGUUGUUCGGAAUUACUGGGCGUAAAGGGCGCGUAGGUGGCCUUCUAAGUUGAACGUGAAAUCCCUGGGCUCAACCCAGGAACUGCGUCCAAGACUGGGAGGCUUGAAUCCGGGAGAGGGAUGCGGAAUUCCAGGUGUAGCGGUGAAAUGCGUAGAUAUCAGGAGGAACACCGGUGGCGAAGGCGGCAUCCUGGACCAACACUGACGCUGAGGAGCGAAAGCCAGGGGAGCAAACGGG